rnacentral:snoRNA from 1 species
AGAGUAUGACCAAAAACUGAAGUUCUCUAUAGGAUGUCAUAGCACUCAAUGGUGCUAUGUUUUCCUCAGGAGAUAUGACU